rnacentral:rRNA from 1 species
CCUACGGGAGGCAGCAGUGAGGAAUAUUGGGCAAUGCCCGCAAGGGUGACCCAGCAACGCCGCGUGGAGGAUGAAUGCCGUAAGGUUGUAAACUCCUGUUAGAGGGAAAGAAUAAUUCCGAUUGCAUCGGAACUUGACUGUACCCUCAGAGAAAGCCCCGGC